GUUAAGUUGAGGUACAAUGGCUAGAUAGAGGAGCGACAAUGUGUCUAAUGUCAAUCGCUUAGCUAGACGAGCUUAACUUCAUGGACUAGGCGAAGCCUCACUCAUAAGUUGGGCUGAGCCUUACCACCAAAUUGGGUCAUGCUUGGCUCGUGAGUUGGUUGUACCUAGACACAUGAGUUGAGGUCAUAUCUGACCCACGUGAACUAGGUCGUACUUAGUAUUAGGAACGAGUCGGCACUAAGAGGGGAGGUUGAAUUAGUGCAGCGGUAAAAACAUUAGCUUAAAAAAUAUUUCGUUUAAUGAAAAUCGAUAUCAUAAAGAUACUUAACUUGAAAGUAUAUGAAAGCAUAAUGAAUAAGUAAAGCAAAUUGCAGUAUGCAAAUGGCAACAAUAGAAAUGCAAACCAGAGAAGAACACGUUAAUUUUAUAGUGGUUCGGUCGUCCGACCUACAUCCACUCCCGAUACCUCCUCCAAUAAGGUCAUCGGCUUCCACUAUUGAUCUUUCUUGAAGGGCAAAGAUCAAUCACCCCUUUACAGAACUUUCACAAGUGGCUCACUCUCCUUUUACAAACUUUUACACUUAGAAAUGAUGGAGGUGAACUCUCAACUUUUGCAAGUUAUUUCACUCAAGGUAUACAAUACCGUAUCGUACUGAUGUUUCGAGGUUGGAUCGGUACGGUACGGUACCGUACCGUGUACUGCUCGGUACACCAGCGUGUAUCGCUCGGUACACCAGGGCGUACCGAGUGGUUUUAAAUAGUUCUUCCUCUACUGUAGCAGUGCUACAGUAUAGCACUGUAGCACGUUCCGUCUGGUAGCGGGCGGUUCGCGUACUGGUAUGUCGUCGGAUCGGUACGUAUCGCUCGUACCGAGCGAUACUAUUCGAAAUUAUAUACCAUGAUUCCACUAUAGUAUGGGAUCAAUUCUUAUCACUGCUCUUUCUUUACCAGUUGAGAAGUAAGGGGUAUUUAUAGCCCUCAAUUGGCUUUAAAAUUGGAGCCAAAAAAUGUCUCAUCCCGGAUUUCCCGUGUCUUGGAGGUACCACCGUUUGUGCCGAGCAGUACCACCGCCUGCAGCACUGAUAUUGGGCGUGAACAAUCGCCCAAACUGGCGGUACUACUACUUGGGAGACUAUGUCUGGGCUGUACCACUGCCCAAACUGGCGGUUUCACUGCCUGACACUGACACUGGGCGGUACCACUACCCAGACUGGUGGUACCAUCACUUGACAGUCUAACACAAUCUCGGAGACUGUGCCACGACGGUGCCACCUAUUAGGUUACUGUUUGGGCCUUUCAUUAGGCCCAACACAGUCCAUACAUGGGGCCAACUAGCCUUAAUUGGGUUGGCCUAAUGCCAAUCCCAAUUAUGUGCUAACUACGAAAUUUAAGACAUACACUAAGUAAAUCUGGUCCGGUUAGUCUAGGUUUCUUCCGGCGAGCUUCCAACGAUCUUCCGACGAACUUCCGAUAAUCUCUCGACAAUGUUUCAGUAGACUCCCGGCAAGCUCCUGGAAUUCACGACGAUCUUCUUGGCGAGUUCCGACGAGCUUCUUUGGCAAGCUCCUGGACUUCUCAAUCAAUUUCGGUAGAACUUCCGACGAACGUCCAAACUUUUGACGAACUCUCGAACUCCCAACGAAAGCUCGUUCUUGACUCUAGGACUUCAUUUUGCUUUAUUCCUUAAUCGCUAUCGUAGUUAAUCCUGCACAAAUAAAACCUAAUUCGAUCUAGACAAUUAUUACAAAGCUUGAAUCAUAUUGUCCGGUAUGUCUUUGGUCCCCGACGCUUCUUCCGAUUCUUCGGCGCAUCAUCCUCUCUUGCGGCCUAUUGUCGAAUCAGUCAGUUGUCCUCCGUAACUCCGAUUUCCUCGGCAUAAUUUUCGCUCUUCUUGGCCCGAUGCCCGAACUCAUGGCCCGAAGCCUUCUGUCGAUACGUCAACCGAUCCUUCGGUUCGACGUCCAAUCUUCUAACAUCUUUUUCUCUGGCCUAACAUGAUUCUUCCUGCUUUAAUUGUCUCUCCCUGAUCGAAGCUACCUGCAUCACUCAAAACGCAUAUCAAAUCAUAAACACUAACAAUUGGUUUCAUCAUCAAAAUCCGAGAUUCAACAAUCUCCCCCUUUUUGAUGAUGACAACCAAUUGAUGACGGAGUUAACUUUAACUCCCCCUAUCAAUAUGUCAUAUUAAUAGAGGAUUCAAAAAUCCAAGCAACAUGUAUCAUAAUAAAAUCAUGCAUAACAUCAUACAUCUCCCCCUUUGUCAUCAACAAAAAGGAGAAGUGCAACUAUCAAGUGUUUAAGAUAUAAUAUCAAAUCAUUGUAUAAUUUCAAGUUUUUGAAACAUCAUAUAUCAUCGUAUAAUUUUAGGUUUUUGAAACAUCAUUGCACAUAUCAUUAUGCAAGCUAGUAAGAUAGUGAGUAUUGAACAUACAAGCUAGCAAGUUUUAGAGAUAUGUAGAGUUUAGCAUAUUUGCUUUUCUUUGUAAUGUUUAAGCUAGCAAGUUUUCGAAAAGGAAUACAAGAUAGCAUUUUUGUCUUUUGUUGAAGUGUGCAAGCUAGCAAUUCUUGCUUCCUUUUGCAAGUUGCAAGUUUUUCUCCUUACAAUUUGUAAGCUAGCAAAUUUAGCAAGUGAUACAUCAUAUUAGAAACUGUAAGCUAGCAAUAUUUGAGAUGUUCAAGAAAACAAGUUCUUUCUUCUCUUUUGAGAUGAGCAAACUAGUAAGUUUUGCUCCCCCUUUGUCAUUGUAAAAAAGAAGGGAUGGUUGCAAAACUUUUCCCAUUAUAUCAUUUUUCAAAUCAUCACAUGAAAUAUAUCAAGAAAAAUUAACUUGGUAAUGAGAUAUAUAAUUCAUGAAGACAAAUUGUGAAUAUCAAAAGAUAAAUUAUAAUUCUUUUAGAUAACUCAAAUAGCGAAAAGUAGACUCAUAGUAAAUGAUCUUAAUUCAUAAAAAAUCUCAUGUUAUAAUUCCAAGAAUUCAUAAGAAAAAAUCAUGAUUCAUUUGAUGAAAAGAUUAUCGAUUCAUGCAUUUGAAUAAAUAUUUUUAAACUAUUAUCACUUCAACUCAUCAAUUUGUCAAAUCAACAAUGUCACUUUCAAGAGAUUCAAAUGAAAUAAAGAGAUUUAUCAAUCUCUUGAAAUGUCAGUGAUUUCCUUUCUCCCCUUUAUCAUUGUAAACAAGAAAGAAGGGAAGAACAUAAUGGUGUAAAAUAUUUCAAUAAUUACAUGGCAUAAAAGCCAUAAAUACGAAGAAAUCAUGUCAUGAAAGAUAAGAUCAUGUGACUAUCAAAAGACAUGAUUCAUAUAGUAAAUCUUCUCUUUAAAAAAAUACUAAGAAAAAAUCGUAGGAGUACAAAAAAGAGAUCUUGAUUCAAAAAAAAAAAAUCUCAAGUAAUUCCAAGAAAUCAAGAUCAUGAUUUGGAUAAAACUCAUUUAAAUUCAAAUCAUCAAAAUCAUUUUCAUAGUCUAAGAGAUUCAUAAAAAUGAUACAAAUAGAUUCAUCAAUCUCUCUUUUUGAAAAAUCGAUAAGAUAGAGAAAAAGAAAUUUGCAAGAAAAAUAUUUUUCUCUUUUUAGUUGUUUUAAUUUAAGUGAUUGAUUUUAUAAAUGCAUGUCCUUGUCCUUUUCGUCAAAUCAAAACAUAUAUCAUCGUUUAAAAUCGAAAGAGCAAAUCUCAUCAUGGAAAUCAUCAAGAUCAAUAAACCAUAAAUUACCUAAAAAUCAUCAUUACUUCAAAUCAUCAUGUAUAAUUAAAUAUAAAAUCAUCAAGUAUGAUAGUUACAUUAUUUUAUAUAAACAUGCCUUUUUCAUUUAUGCCAAAUCAAAACAUGUAUCAUUUUUAAAACCGAAAAAACAACUUUCAUUAUGGUAAAAAUUGAUAAACCAUAAAUUAUGAGAAUCAUAAUGUAUAAUUUUGAAAUAUAAACUCAUUAAGCAUGAUCAUUAUGUAUUAUUAAAUCAUCAAGCAUGAUUUCAUUAAACAUGAAGCAUUUUUAAUCACAUUCAAAAAUCAUCAAUUUAGAUACACAUUAUUUUUUCUUAAAAACAUACAUAGGAUUAAUCAUUAAAUUUACAUUUUAUUGUAUUUUCAUGAAACAUGCAAUUAUCAUUAUCAUUUUCAAAAUUAGCUAAAAAAAGAAAAGCAUGAUCACCUUUUAUUUAUAUUUUUAUUUAUUUCUAAAUUUAAAGAUAACUCAUGAAAAGCAUCAUGUAAUUUCGAAAUAAAGUAAAGGGUUUUUGGUUACCUCAUCAUCGAAAAUCGUGAAGGAGUAGUUCGUCACCUCGCCUUUGUUGGUUUACUCUUCGUCUUCGGAGGUACUCGUUUCAUCCCAAAGUGAUUUCUUCUUCUUCUUUGGCAACCUCUUCUUUUUAAGUUCAUUUUUAAUUUUCGAUUCUUAUUUUAUGAACUUUUUAAAUUUUAAUAUUAAGAGUUUAAGAUCAUCAUUAUCACCAUCACUUGAGUUUUCUCUCAAGUGGUCUUCUUUUGGUCUAACUAUCAAAUCCUUCCUGUUCUUUGGAAGGUUGUUCUCAAAUUCGUCAUGUGCCACAUUGGUCAUUUCGUAGGUCAUCAAAGACCCGAUAAGUUCUUCGAUCAGAAAAUAGUUUAAGUUCUUUGAUUCUUGUAUUGCCAUUAUUUUCAAAUCCCAAUUUUUAGAAAGUGAUCGUAAAACUUUAUUCACAAGUUCAAGAUUCGAAAAACUUUUACCAAGAGAUUUUAGACUAUUGAUAACAUCCGUAAAACAGGUGUACAGGUCUCCAACAGUCUCGUUUGGCUUCAUCCGAAAAAGUUCAAAAUCAUGUAUCAAAAUAUUUAUCUUAGAAUCUUUUAUUCUACUAGUGCCUUUGUGUGUGAUUUCAAAGUGUGCCAAAUAUCGAAAGUCGUUUCACAUAUAGAAACCCGAUUGAAUUCGUUUUUGUCUAAGGCGCAAAAUAGAGCAUUCAUAACUCUAGCAUUUAAAGAAAAAGUCUUAUUCUCCAAAUCAUUCCAAUCGUUCAUUGGAAGAGAAGACCUUUGAAAUAUGUUUUCGACCAUAUUCUAUAAAUUUAAAUAAAUAAAAAGUAAGAAAACUCUUAUUCGAGUUUUUCAAUAUGUGUAGUCCGUCCCAUUGAACAUGGGAGGACAAAAGAUAGACAAGCCCUCUUGAAAGCCGAAAAGAGCCAUUUCUCUUGGGUGUUAAACCAAAUGAGAAAUAACGUGGCUCUAAUACCAACUGUUAGGAACGAGUCGGCACUAAGAAGGAGGGUGAAUUAGUGCAGUGGUAAAAACGUUGGCUUUAAAAAUAUUUCGUUUGAUGAAAACCGAUAUCAUAAAGAUACUUGACUGGAAAGCGUAUGGAAGCGUAAUGAAUAAGUAAAGCAAUUUGCAGUAUAUAAAUGGCAACAAUAUAAAUGUAAACCAGAGAAUAACACGCCAAUUUUAUAGUGGUUCUGUCGUCCAACCUACAUCCACUCCCGAUACCUCCUCCAAUAAGGUCAUCGGCUUCCACUAUUGAUCUUUCUUGAAGGGCAAAGAUCAAUCACCCCUUUAUAGAACUUUCACAAGUGGCUCACUCUCAUUUUACAAACUUUCACACUUAGAAAUGAUAAAGGUGAACUCUCAACCUUUGCAAGCUAUUUUACUAUAGUAUGGGAUCAGUUCUUAUCACUUCUCUUUCUUUACCAGCUGAGAAGUAAGGGGUAUUUAUAGCCCUUAAUUGGCUUCAAAAUUGGAGCAAAAAAAGGUCUCAUCC
rnacentral:lncRNA from 1 species